rnacentral:rRNA from 1 species
GGGUUGUGAGGUUAAGCGACUAAGCGUACACGGUGGAUGCCCUGGCAGUCAGAGGCGAUGAAGGACGUGCUAAUCUGCGAUAAGCGCCGGUAAGGUGAUAUGAACCGUUAUAACCGGCGAUUUCCGAAUGGGGAAACCCAGUGUGACUCGUCACACUAUCAUUAACUGAAUCCAUAGGUUAAUGAGGCGAACCGGGGGAACUGAAACAUCUAAGUACCCCGAGGAAAAGAAAUCAACCGAGAUUCCCCCAGUAGCGGCGAGCGAACGGGGAGGAGCCCAGAGCCUGAAUCAGCAUGUGUGUUAGUGGAAGCGUCUGGAAAGGCGCGCGAUACAGGGUGACAGCCCCGUACACAAAAGCGCAUGUGCUGUGAGCUCGAUGAGUAGGGCGGGACACGUGGUAUCCUGUCUGAAUAUGGGGGGACCAUCCUCCAAGGCUAAAUACUCCUGACUGACCGAUAGUGAACCAGUACCGUGAGGGAAAGGCGAAAAGAACCCCGGCGAGGGGAGUGAAAAAGAACCUGAAACCGUGUACGUACAAGCAGUGGGAGCACAGGUUUACCUGUGUGACUGCGUACCUUUUGUAUAAUGGGUCAGCGACUUAUAUUCUGUAGCAAGGUUAACCGCAUAGGGGAGCCGCAGGGAAACCGAGUCUUAACCGGGCGUUAAGUUGCAGGGUAUAGACCCGAAACCCGGUGAUCUAGCCAUGGGCAGGUUGAAGGUUGGGUAACACUAACUGGAGGACCGAACCGACUAAUGUUGAAAAAUUAGCGGAUGACCUGUGGCUGGGGGUGAAAGGCCAAUCAAACCGGGAGAUAGCUGGUUCUCCCCGAAAGCUAUUUAGGUAGCGCCUCGUGAAUUCAUCUCCGGGGGUAGAGCACUGUUUCGGCUAGGGGGCCAUCCCGGCUUACCAACCCGAUGCAAACUGCGAAUACCGGAGAAUGUUAUCACGGGAGACACACGGCGGGUGCUAACGUCCGUCGUGAAGAGGGAAACAACCCAGACCGCCAGCUAAGGUCCCAAAGUCAUGGUUAAGUGGGAAACGAUGUGGGAAGGCCCAGACAGCCAGGAUGUUGGCUUAGAAGCAGCCAUCAUUUAAAGAAAGCGUAAUAGCUCACUGGUCGAGUCGGCCUGCGCGGAAGAUGUAACGGGGCUAAACCAUGCACCGAAGCUGCGGCAGCGAACGUAUCACCCAAGACAACUUUGCGGAGUUGACGAUUGACGGAGCGAAGCGACGUCAAAGCGUUCAUUAAAGUCGAGUUGGCUUAGGGAUACGUUCGUUGGGUAGGGGAGCGUUCUGUAAGCCUGUGAAGGUAUGCUGUGAGGCAUGCUGGAGGUAUCAGAAGUGCGAAUGCUGACAUAAGUAACGAUAAAGCGGGUGAAAAGCCCGCUCGCCGGAAGACCAAGGGUUCCUGUCCAACGUUAAUCGGGGCAGGGUGAGUCGACCCCUAAGGCGAGGCCGAAAGGCGUAGUCGAUGGGAAACGGGUUAAUAUUCCCGUACUUGGUGUUACUGCGAAGGGGGGACGGAGAAGGCUAUGUUGGCCGGGCGACGGUUGUCCCGGUUUAAGCGUGUAGGUGUGUGUUCCAGGUAAAUCCGGUUCACUUUAACACUGAGGCGUGACGACGAGGCACUACGGUGCUGAAGCAACAAAUGCCCUGCUUCCAGGAAAAGCCUCUAAGCAUCAGGUAACAUCAAAUCGUACCCCAAACCGACACAGGUGGUCAGGUAGAGAAUACCAAGGCGCUUGAGAGAACUCGGGUGAAGGAACUAGGCAAAAUGGUGCCGUAACUUCGGGAGAAGGCACGCUGACACGUAGGUGAAGUGAUUUACUCAUGGAGCUGAAGUCAGUCGAAGAUACCAGCUGGCUGCAACUGUUUAUUAAAAACACAGCACUGUGCAAACACGAAAGUGGACGUAUACGGUGUGACGCCUGCCCGGUGCCGGAAGGUUAAUUGAUGGGGUCAGCGCAAGCGAAGCUCCUGAUCGAAGCCCCGGUAAACGGCGGCCGUAACUAUAACGGUCCUAAGGUAGCGAAAUUCCUUGUCGGGUAAGUUCCGACCUGCACGAAUGGCGUAAUGAUGGCCAGGCUGUCUCCACCCGAGACUCAGUGAAAUUGAACUCGCUGUGAAGAUGCAGUGUACCCGCGGCAAGACGGAAAGACCCCGUGAACCUUUACUAUAGCUUGACACUGAACAUUGAGCCUUGAUGUGUAGGAUAGGUGGGAGGCUUUGAAGUGUGGACGCCAGUCUGCAUGGAGCCGACCUUGAAAUACCACCCUUUAAUGUUUGAUGUUCUAACGUGGACCCGUAAUCCGGGUUGCGGACAGUGUCUGGUGGGUAGUUUGACUGGGGCGGUCUCCUCCUAAAGAGUAACGGAGGAGCACGAAGGUUGGCUAAUCCUGGUCGGACAUCAGGAGGUUAGUGCAAUGGCAUAAGCCAGCUUGACUGCGAGCGUGACGGCGCGAGCAGGUGCGAAAGCAGGUCAUAGUGAUCCGGUGGUUCUGAAUGGAAGGGCCAUCGCUCAACGGAUAAAAGGUACUCCGGGGAUAACAGGCUGAUACCGCCCAAGAGUUCAUAUCGACGGCGGUGUUUGGCACCUCGAUGUCGGCUCAUCACAUCCUGGGGCUGAAGUAGGUCCCAAGGGUAUGGCUGUUCGCCAUUUAAAGUGGUACGCGAGCUGGGUUUAGAACGUCGUGAGACAGUUCGGUCCCUAUCUGCCGUGGGCGCUGGAGAACUGAGGGGGGCUGCUCCUAGUACGAGAGGACCGGAGUGGACGCAUCACUGGUGUUCGGGUUGUCAUGCCAAUGGCACUGCCCGGUAGCUAAAUGCGGAAGAGAUAAGUGCUGAAAGCAUCUAAGCACGAAACUUGCCCCGAGAUGAGUUCUCCCUGAGACUUUAGGUCUCCUGAAGGAACGUUGAAGACGACGACGUUGAUAGGCCGGGUGUGUAAGCGCAGCGAUGCGUUGAGCUAACCGGUACUAAUGAACCGUGAGGCUUAACCUUACAACGCCGAAG